GUCGAGAAUCUUUCACAAUGGGGGCAACUCUGAUGGAGCGACGCCGCGUGGAGGAUAAGGUCUUCGGAUUGUAAACUCCUGUCAUGCGUGAACAAGGUUGCUUGGUUAAUACCUGGGCAAAUUGAUGGUAACGCAAGAGGAAGAGACGGCUAACUCUGUGCCAGCAGCCGCGGUAAUACAGAGGUCUCAAGCGUUGUUCGGAAUCACUGGGCGUAAAGGGUGCGUAGGUGGCGUGGUAAGUCAGAUGUGAAAGCCCGGGGCUCAACCUCGGAACUGCAUCCGAUACUGCCAUGCUAGAGUACUGGAGAGGUGACUAGAAUUCUCGGUGUAGCAGUGAAAUGCGUAGAUAUCGAGAGGAAUACCAAAGGCGUAGGCAGGUCACUGGACAGUUACUGACACUGAGGCACGAAGGCCAGGGGAGCGAACGGGAUUAGAUACCCCAGUAGUCC
rnacentral:rRNA from 1 species